GUAACAAGGUCUCCGUUGGUGAACCAGCGGAGGGAUCAUUACUGAGUUAUCUAAACUCCCAACCCUUUGUGAACCUUACCGUCGUUGCCUCGGCGGGCUGUACUUACCCUGUAGCUACCCUGUAGCUACCCGGUAGGUGCGCUCCAAGCCCGCCGGUGGACCACUAAAUUCUAUUUUACUACUGUAUCUCUGAAUGCUUCAACUUAAUAAGUUAAAACUUUCAACAACGGAUCUCUUGGUUCUGGCAUCGAUGAAGAACGCAGCGAAAUGCGAUAAGUAAUGUGAAUUGCAGAAUUCAGUGAAUCAUCGAAUCUUUGAACGCACAUUGCGCCCAUUAGUAUUCUAGUGGGCAUGCCUAUUCGAGCGUCAUUUCAACCCUUAAGCCUAGUUGCUUAGUGUUGGGAAUCUGCCCUGUAUUUAUAGGGCAGUUCCUUAAAGUGAUCGGCGGAGUUAGGGCAUACUCUAAGCGUAGUAAUAUUCUUCUCGCUUCUGUAGUUGUCCUGGCGGCUUGCCGUUAAACCCCUAUAUUUCUAGUGGUUGACCUCGGAUUAGGUAGGAAUACCCGCUGAACUUAAGCAUAUC
rnacentral:rRNA from 1 species